UGGGGAAUAUUGCACAAUGGGCGAAAGCCUGAUGCAGCAACGCCGCGUGAGUGAUGAAGGCCUUCGGGUUGUAAAGCUCUGUCUUUUGGGACGAUAAUGACGGUACCAAAGGAGGAAGCCACGGCUAACUACGUGCCAGCAGCCGCGGUAAUACGUAGGUGGCAAGCGUUGUCCGGAUUUACUGGGCGUAAAGGAUGCGUAGGCGGAUUUUUAAGUGAGAUGUGAAAACCCUAAGCUUAACUUGGGGACUGCAUUUCAUACUGGAAACCUAGAGUGCGGGAGAGGAGAAUGGAAUUCCUAGUGUAGCGGUGAAAUGCGUAGAGAUUAGGAAGAACACCAGUGGCGAAGGCGAUUCUCUGGACCGUAACUGACGCUGAGGCAUGAAAGCGUGGGUAGCAAACAGGAUUAGAUACCCUGGUAGUCCACGCCGUAAACGAUGAGUACUAGGUGUAGGAGGUAUCGACCCCUUCUGUGCCGCAGUUAACACAAUAAGUACUCCGCCUGGGAAGUACGAUCGCAAGAUUAAAACUUAAAUGAAUUGACGGGGUCAUAGCUGUUUCCU
rnacentral:rRNA from 1 species